UCUUGCCUACUCCUCCCAUU
rnacentral:miRNA from 2 species